UGCUAUCGUCACUGCGUGUAUGCCGUUAUGCUUGUGAAGAAAUAUUUCGGUCACACUUUUUCCCGUAUGCAUGAUACGAAUGAUAGACUCUGCGUACACAAAAAUGCGGAAAUAUUUGCAUAGAUAAGCAACAAUGCUUGUAAAUUUACGUACAUAAAUAUGGUGGCACUUACUGGUGUAGUUUAGUCGUUAAAAUGAUAAUCCCCUCUCGUGCACACUGCGCAGCUUUUAUAAACAGAAUCCGAGCGUAUAUGACAUUAAACUGGUGCAUAAUCUGCAUAGUGUGUUACCGAGUUCUCGAAUAUUAAUCUCCACGAAGAAAUCCGACAGUUGAUAGUUGCAGAAGCAACUGUGCAAUCAUGGCUGGUAAAAUGUCCUUCUUACUUACGCUAAUGGUUAUCUGCGUACUAGCGCGCAACGCCAUAGCUGUACGACCAGAACAUUGUGACGAACCACCGGUUAAGGGACAUUGCCGAGCCCACAUUAUCAGAUAUGCAUAUAUGCCAAGUGGAAGUUGCGAAGUAUUCGUGUACGGUGGCUGUGGUGGAAACGGCAAUAAUUAUCCCAACAAAUUAAAUUGCGAAAAUGAAUGUAAACAAAGUAAAGAUUAAAGAUGUCAAAUGUUGCGAAAUGUAGCUAAAUGUUAAUUUAUUAACGAUUCCAUUUUCUCGUCGCGAAUCUUUUUCAUUGAAAAUCGCCGAUUAAUAGUCUUAUUAAAACAGCUUUAGAAAAAGGACACAAUUCAUUUAUUUUGCACUCUAAUAUCGAGUAAAGCCGUAGAAACUGGCAUCUCCGACGAUAUCGACGCAAUAUCUCAAGAAACGACCCGCGCUCUUGCCCAAUAAAUUCCAACUGACAUAGAAGAGGAAGAAAGAAGAAACCGCGAAAUAUUCUCCAAAUUUAUCGCGAACACUUAUUGGCCGCGAGAGUUUCCUCGUAUUUUCCCAUCGCCGUUCCUACAUAACUCACACGUUGCUCUAUUACGGCAGCAUUUAAAGAUAUGUGCGGUAGUUAAUCGCCGCUGCGUCGAGCGCGGGUUAAUGUAUUCACGGGCAAUCAUUGGCGGUGCCUUGUUAUAUGUAAAUCACCGUUCUCCCGGCGGAGAUGGAUCGCUCAGAUCAAUCUAUAGGUAUAUCGAACUUUCAGAAGUGAAUUUUGGACCCGGCGCGUAUCUUCAUUAACAAUUUACGAACGUAUUUUCAAAUAUGAUGAGUGAUUACAGCAUGUAAAUUUCUAAUACUUUUAUAACACGGACACUUCGAACUAGAUUGAGCAGCGAAAGGUGGAAGUGCAGCAUACAACUUUUCGAAUAAACGCGAAAUGCGGUGACUCGGAGUUGAAGUUUCGCGAUGUUUUCGCUUUAUAUGACACGUCACACAAAAGCUGGUCGUGGUCCAAAAAAAGUUCAUAUGCUCAAUAUCUCGGAAAUGAUGCUUUCACGCGUGAUAGGAUUGGUAUAUGCGAUAUUAUCACGUUUUGCGAGAGAGAAAGAGAAAGUGGGAUGGAAAGAGAGAGAAAUAGAGAGAGAGAGGAAACAGAGAAGAAACUGCUACGUAGUCGAAACGGCGGAAGUUAUCGUGCGCUAGCUGACACUCGCCUCGGAGUUUGCGGCAAACUAAUUUCGAAACCUUCCGAUAACCAGCGCGUUUAAUCGAUGCUGCCCGCGAAAUGAACUCGUCGCUCGGAUUUUACGACGUGGUACUUAAACCCCGAGAAAAGGAAGAACAACAAUUCACUUGCCGCUUCCCCAAUUCGAUCUAUUCGUUAGCGGAACUUGUUCUAGUAUGUAUGUGAUGGCGAAGAACGAUCUGCGCCCUACUAGUCGUUACGAAGGACCUAUAUUGUACAUUGUAGUACAAGAUGGGAAGAUGCAUCCUCGCGGGAUCGUUAUACGCAGUUGGCGCAGCUGCCAAUUGCAGAUGUUAGCAGUUUAUGCGGGGUCCGUUGUUAGUGAAACUAUCGAGGAUUGCAAUCGCCAGUACUUAUAUAAAUACAAUCCGUGACGAUUUAAAAGAGAAUCCAGUUGCUCAUCCGCACGGAAACUUAUAUUUAGGAAACUUUUUUCGGUUGAUGUCCUUUCGGGGUUUUAUUGUGUCGCACACAACGGUGGUAAGAUUCAGGUAUUUUCGAAUAACUAUUAUGUUAUUGGCAGACUAUUGCGCAUGCUUCUCACACUGUUAUGCGAUAGAAAUUUCGGCAUUGACGCAGGACCGAUCGCGACCCUCCGUACUGUAGUCUUUUGGACGAUCACAGAGGCAGAUGUCUUUUGAGCUCGUGUUUUGCUGGGACAUAUACAAGACGAAAAAUUUGACCAUAUUGAAUUCUGCGCAGUAAAGAGGAAACAAUAUAUUGGCAUUUGAUAAUACGUCAGAGAAACGCAACAAAUUUGAAUGUUACAAGAUGAGUUUGAAAACAGACUUGGUAUUUCUUCUCGCCGCUGUAAGUGUACUCUUUCUAAUACAUACGACAAUAGCAAACCCAGCACGUCGUGUAAAAUAUUACAAACCUUGGUGGUGCGAAUACAAUUUUGAUGUGGGUGAUUGCUCUCACUAUGAAGUGAAAUUUUAUUACGACAAAGCGAGAAAUGAUUGUCUAACAUUUGUGUGGGGUGGUUGUGGUGGGAAUGCUAACAGGUUCGAUACCGAACGCUCGUGCCAAAAAAUUUGUCUUUGGCCAAAAGAUCCACCUCCAUACGGUUUUUAAACGGGAAUGUAAGACUGUAUGAAAUUCUGAUCAGAUAUUCGUACAAAUUCUUUAUUUUUAUAAGAAUUGACUGUAACAAAAUUAAAUUAUCCAUUGAAAUACAUAUGUAACAAAAAUUU